UGAAAUUGAAUAAAAAGACCGUAGACAGUGGGUGUGCUUUUGCACGUAAAUCCCACCGAGGUUUUUAGAAAUAAAUUCCCAAAAGGGAUCCUCGUGUCUACGGGAUCCUUUUUAAAUUUUUUA
rfam:Thermoanaerobacter pseudethanolicus ATCC 33223, complete genome.